UACGGGGGGGGCAAGCGUUGUUCGGAAUUACUGGGCGUAAAGGGUUCGUAGGUGGCCAACUCAGUCAGACGUGAAAUCCCUCAGCUCAACUGGGGAACUGCGUCUGAUACUGGAUGGCUCGAGUGCAGGAGAGGAACGCGGAAUUCCAGGUGUAGCGGUGAAAUGCGUAGAUAUCUGGAGGAACACCGGUGGCGAAGGCGGCGUUCUGGACUGCAACUGACACUGAGGAACGAAAGCCAGGGGAGCAAACGGG
rnacentral:rRNA from 1 species